rnacentral:misc_RNA from 1 species
GAUGAAGAACGUAGCGAAAUGCGAUACGUAAUGUGAAUUGCAGAAUUCAGUGAAUCAUCGAAUCUUUGAACGCAUAUUGCGCUCUCUGGUAUUCCGGAGAGCAUGCUUGUUUGAGUAUCAGUAAACACCUCAACUUCCAUAUCUUUUUUGAAAUGGGAGUUGGACUUGAGUGAUCCCAACGCUUUUCCUCACCGAAAAGUGGCGGGUUACUUGAAAUGCAGGUGCAGCUGGACUUUUCUCUGAGCUAUAAGCAUAUCUAUUUAGUCUGCCUAAAAAACAGAUUAUUACCUUUGCUGCAGCUAACAUAAAGGAGAUUAGUUCUUGUGCUGACUGAUGCAGGAUUCACAAAGACGGCUUCGGCCGACUUUGUAAACUCGAUCUCAAAUCAAGUAAGACUACCCGCUGAACUUAAGCAUAUCAAUAAGUGGAGGA